GAUGAACGCUAGCGGCAGGCUUAAUACAUGCAAGUCGAGGGGCAGCAUGAUUGUAGCAAUACAAUUGAUGGCGACCGGCAAACGGGUGCGGAACACGUACACAACCUCCCAAUAAGUGGGGAAUAGCCCAGAGAAAUUUGGAUUAAUACCCCGUAACAUAACGAUGUGGCAUCACAUUGUUAUUAUAGAUUUUUCGCUUAUUGAUGGGUGUGCGGCUGAUUAGAUAGUUGGCGGGGUAACGGCCCACCAAGUCUACGAUCAGUAGCUGAUGUGAGAGCAUGAUCAGCCACACGGGCACUGAGAAACGGGCCCGACUCCUACGGGAGGCAGCAGUAAGGAACAUUGGACAAUGGACGCAAGUCUGAUCCAGCCAUGCCGCGUGAAGGAUUAAGGUCCUCUGGAUUGUAAACUUCUUUUAUAAGGGACGAAAAAAGGCUUUUCUAAGUCGUCUGACGGUACCUUAUGAAUAAGCACCGGCUAACUCCGUGCCAGCAGCCGCGGUAACAC
rnacentral:rRNA from 1 species